CUGACCUGCCCAGUGAUUAAUUUAACGGCCGCGGUAUACUGACCGUGCAAAGGUAGCAUAAUCAUUAGUCUUUUAAUAGAGGGCUGGAAUGAAAGGUUUAACGAGGAACUGACUGUCUCAUUUUAUUUGUUUUAAAAUUUAAUUUUUUAGUUAAAAAGCUAAAAUUUCAUUGGAAGACGAGAAGACCCUAUAGAUCUUUAUAGAAAAAUAAAUAAUUAUUAAUAUAUAAAUAUAAUUAUUUAUUUUUCUAUUUUGUUGGGGUGACAAAAAUAUAAAACUAACUUUUUUAUUUAUAUAACAUUGAUUUAUGAAUAUAGGAUCCAUUACUAGUGAUUAUUAGAUUAAGUUACCUUAGGGAUAACAGCGUAAUCCUCCUCCAGAGUUCAUAUUUACAGGAUGGGCUUGCGACCUCGAUGUUGGAUUAAGAUAAUAAUCAGGUGUAGCCGCUUGAUUUAUAGGUCUGUUCGACCUUUAA
rnacentral:rRNA from 1 species